AAAUGCAAAGGCGGUGCCGGGACUGUGGGGGCAAGUGUAUAUUACUUGAUUCAGUAUGAAAAUACAUUAGACAUGGAUACAAACAAGGCUCUGCCAUAGUUCUUCACAACAUACUGCAUGCAUAAGUUGAAGGGGUUUCCUAAAAAAAGCGGCAUGCUGUACUUUGUCACUCCUAAGGGGCAAGCACGUUGUUGAAGUAGGAUAACCACAAUCAGCGUCCAUCAACGGGAUAUCAUAGGCUUCAAGUACAAUUUGUACAAAGUUUGUUACUUUGUCUAGCUUUUUUGCCCUAAAUCAUGGGCGCUCUCAAUACAUGCACCUCUGAAGAAUAAAAAGCACCCAUAUAAGCUUAAAUUGCUUGGCCGAGGUCGGAUGUAAAAAACAAACUUGUUCCUUGUUGUUAUAGAAAUACAUCGCAUGAGCUUCAGUUAUUUUAUAUUUGCUAUUUUGGAUUGCCAGAGUUCAUGUUUCCCUCCAAC
rnacentral:lncRNA from 1 species